UUUCACAGGAUUUGUGAGAAAAGAUGUGGUGAGGAUUAUGGUUACAGCUGAGGCUGGCAUUAAUCUUAAUGACCUAAAUAUCAUGGAGAUGUUUAUAGGCAAGAUAAGGAAAGCGGUUAAAAAUCGAGGAAAUUAUUUUGCAAACUGGAAAAAACAGCGUGAUGGAAUUGUAUUUCACCAAACAGCAAAAUAACAGGUCCUUUCUAAAAGCAAGACAGAAAACACACAACUCAUUAUAAUAAUAUAUUGGUAAUUUUUUAUGUUGUUAGCCUUUGCUUCACUGUCUGCACCCUAUACAGAUGCAUCUCUUUUAAAGUACUAAAUAUUGCAGUUGACAUCACCCAUCUUAACUUCGCCAUUUUGGUAGACAAUCAAAAGAGCCCUAGAGCACCUGUAGCAUUGAUAUCGAUAGUGGUUGAACAAAAAUUUAAAAUCUGACUGUUUAGACCUUACAAACCUUAGAAUUACAACAUGGUGGACAGCUUUUAUGUUUCAGGUUUUAUUUUUAAUAGUAACGCUAAAAUGACAUGAAAGAGUUUAAAGUGUGUUUAAUAAUUGGGCUGAUAUAGGCUCUAAUACGAGGGAAAGUUGAUGAGGUAAUUUUAGAUAUAUGGAUACUGCAGGUCAUGAAAGCUACAUGUUAAAAAGCAUUAUAUUUUGUUGCUGGCACCAUCCAUUUCAAAUGGUCCCAGCUAUCCCUGCCUGCCAAAAUGGCUAUGUAAACAGAAUGGGUCACAGGACG